AUACGUAGGUGGCGAGCGUUGUCCGGAAUUAUUGGGCGUAAAGAGCAUGUAGGCGGCUUAAUAAGUCGAGCGUGAAAAUGCGGGGCUCAACCCCGUAUGGCUCUGGAUACUGGAAGACUUGAGUGCAGGAGAGGAAAGGGGAAUUCCCAGUGUAGCGGUGAAAUGCGUAGAUAUUGGGAGGAACACCAGUGGCGAAGGCGCCUUUCUGGACUGUGUCUGACGCUGAGAUGCGAAAGCCAGGGUAGCGAACGGGAUUAGAUACCCCGGUAGUCCUGGCCGUAAACGAUGGGUACUAGGUGUAGGAGGUAUCGACCCCUUCUGUGCCGGAGUUAACGCAAUAAGUACCCCGCCUGGGGAGUACGUCCGCAAGGAUGAAACUCAAAGGAAUUGACGGGG
rnacentral:rRNA from 1 species